rnacentral:rRNA from 1 species
GUGGGGAAUAUUGGACAAUGGGCGAAAGCCUGAUCCAGCCAUGCCGCGUGUGUGAAGAAGGUCUUCGGAUUGUAAAGCACUUUAAGUUGGGAGGAAGGGCAGUAAGUUAAUACCUUGCUGUUUUGACGUUACCGACAGAAUAAGCACCGGCUAACUUCGUGCCAGCAGCCGCGGUAAUACGAAGGGUGCAAGCGUUAAUCGGAAUUACUGGGCGUAAAGCGCGCGUAGGUGGUUUUGUAAGUUGGAGGUGAAAUCCCCGGGCUCAACCUGGGAACUGCCUCCAAAACUGCAUGACUAGAGUAUGGUAGAGGGUAGUGGAAUUUCCUGUGUAGCGGUGAAAUGCGUAGAUAUAGGAAGGAACACCAGUGGCGAAGGCGACUACCUGGACUGAUACUGACACUGAGGUGCGAAAGCGUGGGGAGCAAACAGGAUUAGAAACCCCGGUAGUCC